GAAGUGCGAAUGCUGACAUGAGUAGCGACAAAGAGGGUGAGAUGCCCUCUCGCCGAAAGACCAAGGGUUCCUGCGCAACGCUAAUCGGCGCAGGGUAAGCCGGCCCCUAAGACGAGCCCGAAGGGGGUAGUCGAUGGGAACCACGUUAAUAUUCGUGGGCCUGGAGAUGUGUGACGGAUGGUGGAAGUAGUUCGACCUUAUUGGAUUGGUCGGGCUGCCAAAUCGUUCCAGGAAAUAGCCUCUCCAUAUAGACCGUACCCGAAACCGACACAGGUGGUCAGGUAGAGAAUACCAAGGCGCUUGAGAGAACUUGGGUGAAGGAACUAGGCAAAAUGGUACCGUAACUUCGGGAGAAGGUACGCCGGUUUUGGUGAUGGGACUUGCUCCCUAAGCUGAGGCUGGCCGAAGUGACCAGGUGGCUGCGACUGUUUAUCAAAAACAUAGCACUCUGCAAACACGAAAGUGGACGUAUAGGGUGUGACGCCUGCCCGGUGCCGGAAGGUUAAG
rnacentral:rRNA from 1 species